GAUAAAUUUUGUUUUACAUGAUAAUAAAACUCUGGUAUAUAUUCAGAAUACUCCUAUGGGAUCUAAACAAAGUACAGAUGGUCACAAGGACGUGAUGAGGAACUCUAAAAAGAAUACUCCUAUGGGAUCUAAACAAAGUACAGAUGGUCACAAGGACGUGAUGAGGAACUCUAAAAAGGACGUAACCUAUGGAAACAAUGACGUCAGAGCUAAAUUAGCCGCCCAAGGACCAAAAAAGGAGAGAUAAUUAGAGGUCUAAUGCUACGAUGAACAAUUCUAUCAGCGGUAGGCAUGGCAACGCAGGCGCUACGACAGCGAUAGAGCAGUAUUUUCUAGUUGGGGUCAACUCGGCAGGAUGUGUCUCUGGUUCUGUCGCAAACUCACUGCUUAUCCUGGCGUGCUCAUGGUUUCGUUAGCGGUAUCUUACAUGAUGUCAUGCGCGGUGUGGCAACCGUGUGUCUGUGUGUCCCCCCACGGUGUGAUGUCACGCCAAUAGUCACACCUUCACGGUGUCAUGUCAUGUCACGCCAAAGUCACACCUCAACGGUAUUUUGUCACACCAAUAGUCAUACCUUCACGGUGUCAUGUCACGCCAAUAGUCACGCUUUACGGUUUCAUGUCACGCCAAUAGUCACACCUUUAUGGUGUCACGUCACGCCAAUAGCCACACCUUUAUGGUGUCACGUCACGCCAAUAGUCACACCUUUAUGGUGUCACGUCACGCCAAUAGCCACACCUUUAUGGUGUCACGUCACGCCAAUAGCCACACCUUUAUGGUGUCACGUCACGCCAAUACCCACACCUUUAUGGUGUCACGUCACGCCAAUAGCCACACCUUUAUGGUGUCACGUCACGCCAAUAGCCACACCUUUAUGGUGUCACGUCACGCCAAUAGCCACACCUUUAUGGUGUCACGUCACGCCAAUAGCCACACCUUUAUGGUGUCACGUCACGCCAAUAGCCACACCUUUAUGAUGCCAUGAAUAGCCGCACACCCUCGCGGUGUCAUGACACGCCAAAAGUCACACCUUAUAUGGUAUCAUGUCACACCAUAAUAACACCCUCGCGGUGUCAUGUCAGGCCGAUUGUCAUACCUACACCCUCAAAAUUUCAGGUCACGCUUUCACGUCAAGCAAAUAGUCACACCUUCACGGUGUCAAGUCACGCUUUUAAGGCGUCAUGUCACGCCAAUUGUCACGUCUUCACAUAAGCCCAACCAUAAAAACAUACUUCUCUUCCAGUGUCGUGACGAAUGACUACGAAAGAAAAAAACACCAAAGAACCUUCGUCUAGCCCAGGCCCAGGGUAAUAAAAAUAUGAGAUCUGAUGCUUUUGUAAAUUGUAUAAGAACUAAUUACAGGAAUAACUUAACGUCAUCGAAAUAUUUAUUUAUAAUAUAUUUAUGUAUAUCUAUAUGUAAAAAAACACUAGACAUAAUACUUUGUAAAUAAAAACAGAAUUCUCUUUUGCAAAAUCAUACUCUACGAAAUAUGCCUGUACAUUUCACUAGUCAAAAUAAACUUUAAACUGUCACAGACAUAAUGGAUAUAGAAACACACAAUGAAUGCGUUUAUUGAUUUAUCUUGUGAAUGUCGUGUUUCGCGCAUCCCGAAUAGCCUACCUGUAGGCUUUGAUAGAUUUUCCGGCACGAAAACGGCCGGGUUAUGGGAACAAAGCCAAGUAGGCUACGCAUCUGAAUUGUAAGGGGCCUUUCACUUUUGAAGAGACA